AUUGACUUCUGAUUCAAGUUUCUAAAUGUUUAUUAUGAGAAACAUUUGCCCUAUACAAGAAAAACAAUAUUUAUGUUCAGUUCAAUUUAUACAAUAAUUGCCAUACAUGUAUAUAUUACAUGUCAUAAUAUUAAAAUAUGUGAGUAUGUAAUGAUAAUUUACCUUAAAACACUUAAAGUACAUGUAGAUCUACUAUAAUCAUAAAAUAUCUUUGAAUUAAGGUUCUUACAGUAAACUUGAUUUAGGGUUGAAUACAAAUUGAAAAUUGUUUUUCAAUUCCCCCCCCCCCCUGACUUAUGAAAACUGCUUUGCUUUAAUGGUAGUACAUAUGUAUUUCCACUGGGGUUAAAUGUUUAGUUUGCCUUCCUCUGACUCUAUCUAUGAAAAAUUGUAAUGUCAGUGCUUGUAUACACCUCUGUGACAGUUCACUUGAAAAUAGUCAUAAACCCCUAACAAACAAAUCCUGCCCGCUUGAUACUUGUAAUGUGAAACUGGGGCUAUCUUUACUGGCUUGCUGGAAUGUGUAUAAUCUCUUCUGAUUGGUUGGGAGCCAAAUUUGAACGUGUAAACAUAGAUCCAUGCAGGACCUGAAAUGUAGUUUCAAAGCAAUGUUGGGAAUUUUUAAAGUUGAAGUUUUAACAAUAUCCUGAUAUACUUUAAUGGACAUUCUUAAACAAUUAAUUAGAAUGUGGAAAUCAACAUUUUGUGUGUCAACAAGUCUCUAAAAGAGGAAUUCAGUGAGUUAUGAAGCGGCCCUUUUGGAAAUGCUUUGAACUGUUAAACAGCGAUUGUCAAAAAAGAUUGUGUAGCAACUUACCCCUGACAACGACCUCAGAAGUGCAGUCACAGAGUAAUGGUGCUGUUAUCACUUAAAAGCAACCAUCAAAAAAGAUUGUGUAGCAACUUUCCCCUGACAACGACCACUGGCUCAGUUAAGUGCAGUCACAGAGUGAUGGUACCUCACCAGGGUCUAGUUCAGGCAAAUGAAGAUCUCUAAAAGGGAUUUUUAUCUCAAUAUAAUAACUGUAAUUUCUUAAAACAUAAACUUACUUUAUUUACUGUGUUUUUAUGUCAUUAUAACAGUGAUACAGUAAUGUGUGUUGUAUUUAGGGAUUUAUUUCUUAACGGGAUGUGUAAGAGUAAAUUAUUUUAUU